GGGCCCGUGGCCCAGCCAGGAUAGGGUGCUAAUCGCGAGCCAGUUGUCGUGGGAUCGAAGCCCACCGGGCCCG
rnacentral:tRNA from 1 species